rnacentral:rRNA from 1 species
GGGCCCGCACAAGCGGUGGAGCAUGUGGUUUAAUUCGUUACUAACCGAAGAACCUUACCCAGGCUUGACAUCCCCGGACAGCCCAUGAAAGUGGGUCUCCUCCCCGAAAGGGGAGGCUGGGUGACAGGUGUUGCAUGGCUGUCGUCAGCUCGUGUCGUGAGAUGUUGGGUUAAGUCCCGCAACGAGCGCAACCCUCAUCGCAUGUUGCCAGCGUAAAGUCGGGCACUCUUGCGAAACUGCCCGUGUAAGCGGGAGGAAGGUGGGGAUGACGUCAAGUCGGCAUGGCCCUUACGCCUGGGGCUACACACAUGCUACAAUGGCCGGUUACAGAGGGACGCAAGACCGCGAGGUGGAGCUAAUCCCACAAACCCGGUCCCAGUUCGGAUUGCAGUCUGCAACUCGACUGCAUGAAGUCGGAAUCGCUAGUAACCGCAGGUCAGCUAUACUGCGGUGAAUACGUUCCCGGGCCUU